AGAAAAUGCUGCCUCUCGGCCCCUGUUGUCACAGUUUUGGAUACGUGGGGCUUUUGCUUUCUCUGUUCUCACCUUUUUUCUUUUUUUCCUUUUCUUGUAUUCUACAACUUCCUAUCUCUUUGAAUCCCUACUGAUUCUUUUGCCUUUAUAAACCCCACUGAACCAACGUAGACCUUCCCUUUUUCAUAAAUUUUCACAUAGUCCUUUUUGAUUUAAUAAACUCUAACUUUGAACUCUCUGAGGAGUCCAUUGCAAGGCCAAUCUCCAAUAUUCCCCCUAUAAGAGCAUCCAGAGCAGUAGAUGAAGAUCUCUACAAGAUUUCCCCUCAAUUGCUCCACUAUAAGCCUACAAGGAAAGGUGUUAGGAGAUUCUUUUCGAGCUGCUUGCUGCCAACUUGUGCUUCUUGAUCCUCAAAUAACACAAGAUUGUCAACAUUAUAUAGGACUAGUAGUAUCGUAUAAAUAGUUGCUAUGUGUCUAUUAUUAAUAUAGUGUUUGGAGUAUUUUCUUGGGGUUUUAGCAUUAAAUUGGCUUAUAAACCCAGAGAUUAUGCCAGCCCAAGAAAACAAAUAUCCAUCAUUAGCUUAGGAUGGUCAAAAUUAAGAGAAUUCCUUCUCUAUUCUAUUGCUAGUAUGUUUCCCUUUGGAAGUAUUUUCGUCUCAAUUGCUCUGCUAGCUAAUGCACUUCUGUUUUGCUUCCUUAAAUUAAAGAAAGUUGACUA